rnacentral:rRNA from 1 species
UACGUAGGGUGCGAGCGUUUAAUCGGAAUUACUGGGCGUAAAGCGUGCGCAGGCGGUUAUGCAAGACAGAUGUGAAAAUCCCCGGGCUCAACCUGGGAACUGCAUUUGUGACUGCAUGGCUGGAGUGCGGCAGAGGGGGGAUGGAAUUCCGCGUGUAGCAGUGAAAUGCGUGAUAUGCGGAGGAACACCGAUGGCGAAGGCAAUCCCCUGGGCCUGCACUG